rnacentral:rRNA from 1 species
UACGUAGGAGGCGAGCGUUGUCCGGAUUCAUUGGGCGUAAAGAGCGCGCAGGCGGCUUGGUAAGUCGGAUGUGAAAACCCGAGGCUCAACCUCGGGCGUGCAUCCGAAACUGCUCGGCUAGAGGUAGGUAGGGGAGAUCGGAAUUCCUGGUGUAGCGGUGAAAUGCGCAGAUAUCAGGAGGAACACCGGUGGCGAAGGCGGAUCUCUGGGCCUUACCUGACGCUCAGGCGCGAAAGCUAGGGGAGCGAACUGG